UACGUAGGGUGCAAGCGUUGUCCGGAAUUAUUAGGCGUAAAGGGCUCGUAGGCGGUUUGUCGCGUCGGGAGUGAAAUCCACUGGCUUAACUGGUGGCUUGCUUUCGAUACGGGCAGACUGGAGGUAUGCAGGGGAGAACGGAAUUCCUGGUGUAGCGGUGAAAUGCGCAGAUAUCAGGAGGAACACCGGUGGCGAAGGCGGUUCUCUGGGCAUGUCCUGACGCUGAGGAGCGAAAGUGUGGGGAGCGAACAGG
rnacentral:rRNA from 1 species